rnacentral:misc_RNA from 1 species
GGCUGGUAGCCUUCUCGAAGGGGUUGUUUACAUGGGCAAGAUGGGUCAAGGCCAACGUCAAUCCAGCCCGGACCAAGGUCUUCUUCCAAGGGAUAUCUCCAACACAUUACCAGGGCAGGGAUUGGGGUGAGCGGAAUGCCAAGGAAUGUUACGGACAGACACGACCAGUGAGCGGGUCGAAAUAUCCAGCAGGAUUGCCACCGGAGCACACGGUGCUGAAUAAUGUGUUGAGUACCAUAUCCAAAACUGUAUAUCUCCUAGAUAUAACCUUACUUUCGCAGCUGAGAAAAGACGGUCACCCGAGCGUGUACGGUGGUGGCCGCGAAAUAGACUGCAGUCACUGGUGCAUUGCCGGGGUUCCAGACACAUGGAAUCAGAUAUUGUAUGCACAGCUCCUUCAAUAACAAGCUGCUCAUUAUGGCUUGUUAAGCAUGGCAAUUGUUUGUGAAAUGUACCAUAAACAUUGGUUAACAUUGCGGGUAUAGGAUCAAAAGAAAUUGGUUCGUG